rnacentral:RNase_P_RNA from 1 species
GAAGCUGGCCAGGCAGCCGCUGUGCGCGGAACAAACCGGACAAGGCAACUUGUGCGUGCCGCGCAUAGAGGAAAGUCCGGGCUCCACAGGGUAGGGUGACGGGUAACGCCCGUCCGCCGUGAGGCGAGGAACAGGGCCACAGAGACGAGUCCGCUGGGCGCGAGUUCAGCGGGGUGAAACGCGGUAACCUCCACCCGGAGCAACACCGAAUAGGCAAGCGUUGACGCGUCCCGCCGAGCUUGCGGGUAGGUGGCUUGAGCCGUGCAGCAAUGUACGGCCCAGAGGAAUGGCUGCCCACGACAGAACCCGGCUUAACGGCCAGCUUCACCU